CCUUGCUCCUCCAGCAGCACAAUGUGAUCCACCGGCAAGGAGGGACGCCAAUAAGGCAUCCGAUAAGAUAAGUCUUAUAAAAUAUAUAGAUGUAUGAUAAUUAAGACUGAGCUAACAGAUGAGAAUCCUAGUCAUUGGCCAAGCAGCUUUGAACCUAAUACAAGUUUCUGUGUAUUCAUUUGGGCCUAACUCGGGCGGGUGGCUGGUGUAAAGUGCACAUGUGGCAGUGGGGCUCAGCAGCUUUUGGUGGAAAGAUUUAUCAUAACAACUCUCCAGUGAAGGCCACACAUGCAAGAGAUUGUGACCAGUAUAUACUAUACUAGAUGGGUUAAAAAAAAAAGAGGACAAAAUGUUGGGUGGGUAGGGAAAAGGAGGGCAUGAAUGUAUAAGGAGUAGGGUUAGGGAGUGAAUGUGAUAAAAAAUAUAUUGUAUAGCAUUGUCAGAGAACUAACAAAAACUUAAAGGAGUAGGGUCUAGAGAGAGAUUUAGAGCACACAGGGCUCUUGCAGAAUGCUUGAGUUUAGUUCCCAGCACUAAAGUCAGACAGCUCACAACUAUCUGUAAUUCCAGCUGCAAGGGAUUUGAUGUCCCCUUCUGGCUUCCAAGAGCAUCUACACUCAUCUUCACAGCCCUCACAUACAAUUACAAUUUAGAAAUAAUAAAGAUGAGGAAACUCUAAGAAGAUAGAGAUCUGAGCAGCAAAUGAAGUACUCUGCUUAGGAACCGGUCCAAGAAGAGGAAGGAAACAAGCUUUUGGAUAAAAGAAGCCAAGAGAAAGAUUUGCUUAUUAGGAAGAGGAUUUGAUACCAAGUGUGUGAUUGCUCAUGAGGCGGUUAUGGACCAAACACAUCAUGCCUAACUGUACUGAUUAGACCGGGAUAACAACUAGAGUGCUUUUUGCACGAACCGUUUCCAACAUAUUACCUGCCUGCAACUCCCUUUUUUGUUACCAUCACAUUUGCAUUUUGAACCAGAUGCUGCUAAAGACAAUUUCUCAUCCCUCUGAUUCUGCUCUCCCAUGUGUGCUCUGUGAGAAACUCUCAGUAAGGUAAAGUGUCCCAAGAAAAACUGAUUAUUGAAUCACAAGGGCUAUCUGAGUUUUCUCUUGGAUGUGAUGAUUUUAAUUUCAUUUUUUUGUGAGAUUUGGUUUGCCAAAUUUUCCUUAAUGAGUAAUAUGCUUAAACCACCACCACCAAUCAUUAACAGUGCAUGUUGCUUUCAUUACUCAUCAAUGUGAUGCAUUUAUAAAGGAUUUUUUUCUUUACUACAUCAUAAUGCCUAUUUGCAUUUUUCUCUUCACUACCAUGAAUGAAAAUGGGAAGACUGGAAUUAAAGGGACUUACAAAUGUUGACACAGUUAUUUCAGCUGACUCCCCAAGGGCCUGUGUAUCAAAUGAAGGCUUAGUCUCUAGCAGUGGCACUGCUGGGUUGUGUGGGA
rnacentral:lncRNA from 1 species